GCGCGUAAAUUGCCCGAAUCCUGACACAGGGAGGUAGUGACAAGAAAUAACAAUACAGGGCUACUUCUAGUCUUGUAAUUGGAAUGAGUACAACUUACAUCUCUUCACGAGGAUCAAUUGGAGGGCAAGUCUGGUGCCAGCAGCCGCGGUAAUUCCAGCUCCAAUAGCGUAUAUUAAAGUUGUUGCAGUUAAAAAGCUCGUAGUCGGAUUUCGGGUCGGGCCGAGCGGUCUGCCGAUGGGUAUGCACUGUUCGGCGCGGCCUUCUUUCCGGAGACCGCGGCUACUCUUAACUGAGCUGGCGUGGGAGACGGAUCGUUUACUUUGAAAAAAUCAGAGUGUUUCAAGCAGGCAGCACGCUCUUGCAUGGAUUAGCAUGGGAUAAUGAAAUAGGACUCUGGUGCUAUUUUGUUGGUUUCGAACACCGGAGUAAUGAUUAACAGGGACAGUCAGGGGCACUCGUAUUCC
rnacentral:rRNA from 1 species